rnacentral:rRNA from 1 species
UACGUAGGGGGCAAGCGUUGUCCGGAUUUAUUGGGCGUAAAGCGCUCGCAGGUGGUUUGUCGCGUCGUGCGUGAAAGACCCCGGCUCAAUUGGGGAGGGUCGUGCGAUACGGGCGAACUGGAGGCCAGUAGGGGGAUGCGGAAUUCCGGGUGUAGUGGUGGAAUGCGUAGAGAUCCGGAGGAACACCAGCGGCGAAGGCGGCAUCCUGGACUGGUCCUGACACUCAGGAGCGAAAGCGUGGGGAGCGAGCCGG